rnacentral:rRNA from 1 species
UAAAGAAUUUCGGUAUGGGAUGGGGAUGCGUUCCAUUAGUUAGUUGGCGGGGUAACGGCCCACCAAGACAACGAUGGAUAGGGGUUCUGAGAGGGAGGUCCCCCACAUUGGAACUGAGACACGGUCCAAACUCCUACGGGAGGCAGCAGUGAGGAAUAUUGGUCAAUGGACGAGAGUCUGAACCAGCCAAGUAGCGUGAAGGAUGACUGCCCUAUGGGUUGUAAACUUCUUUUAUAUGGGAAUAAAACGUUCCACGUGUGGAAUUUUGUAUGUACCAUAUGAAUAAGGAUCGGCUAACUCCGUGCCAGCAGCCGCGGUAAUACGGAGGAUCCGAGCGUUAUCCGGAUUUAUUGGGUUUAAAGGGAGCGUAGGUGGAUUGUUAAGUCAGUUGUGAAAGUUUGCGGCUCAACCGUAAAAUUGCAGUUGAAACUGGCAGUCUUGAGUACAGUAGAGGUGGGCGGAAUUCGUGGUGUAGCGGUGAAAUGCUUAGAUAUCACGAAGAACUCCGAUUGCGAAGGCAGCUCACUGGACUGCAACUGACACUGAGGCUCGAAAGUGUGGGUAUCAAACAGGAUUAGAUACCCUGGUAGUCCACACAGUAAACGAUGAAUACUCGCUGUUUGCGAUAUACAGCAA